rfam:Pseudomonas denitrificans ATCC 13867, complete genome.
CCUCAGUGAUCCGACGGCUUGCCCGCUGCCGGGGCACGGCACCAACCCGAUCGCCGCCGGCUCGCCCGACGU